rnacentral:rRNA from 1 species
GACGAACGCUGGCGGCGCGCCUAACACAUGCAAGUCGAACGGUGAAGAGGAGCUUGCUCCUCGGAACAGUGGCGGACGGGUGAGUAACACGUGAGCAACCUGGCUCUAAGAGGGGGACAACAGUUGGAAACGACUGCUAAUACCGCAUGACGUAUCGGGAUGGCAUCUUCCUGAUACCAAAGAUUUUAUCGCUUAGAGAUGGGCUCGCGUCUGAUUAGAUAGUUGGCGGGGUAACGGCCCACCAAGUCGACGAUCAGUAGCCGGACUGAGAGGUUGAACGGCCACAUUGGGACUGAGACACGGCCCAGACUCCUACGGGAGGCAGCAGUGGGGGAUAUUGGACAAUGGGGGCAACCCUGAACCAGCGACGGCGCGUGAGGGAAGAAGGUUUUCAGAUAGUCAACCUCUGUUGACGGAGAAAAAAAUGAUGGUAUCCGUUUAGAAAGCCACGGCUAACUACGUG